CUUGUAUCCAAUCCGUUGUCCCUUCUCGCAACCUUUGAAGCAGAGAAAAAACAAGACUGGUGCGUUUUCAGACAUUAAGCACAAGUUUCUGAAUUGGCCACUUGAAGCGGACUCCAAAAACCUCCCGGAUGCUGUCCUCCAGCUCACCGACUUUAGCUGCCAUUUGAGUGAUGAGGAGCAAGAGAAAGAGGGGAACAUAAAACAGGAGGUAUGCCAGUUAAAAUGCCACAAGAAUCCAGCAGAAUUUCCAGGGAAGCGAAUGAGGAAAGGCUCUGCGAUGUGGAGACUGGGUGGAGCUCAGACGGGGACUGUGAGGGACAGUCGGGUCUGAGUCGGCAGGACAGCUGCACAUGCACAGCUGUUUCAGUAAAACAACUGAUUCCAGACAUGUUUCCAGACCUCAGUUUGGAGUGGAGCAAUGGUCUGGAAAAAUAAAUGUGA